rnacentral:misc_RNA from 1 species
GAUGAAGAACGUAGCGAAAUGCGACAAGUAAUGUGAAUUGCAGAAUUCCGUGAAUCAUCGAAUCUUUGAACGCACAUUGCGCCCGCCAGUAUUCUGGCGGGCAUGCCUGUUCGAGCGUCAUUACAACCCUCAGGCCCCCGGGCCUGGCGUUGGGGAUCGGCGGAGCCCCCCGUGGGCACACGCCGUCCCCCAAAUACAGUGGCGGUCCCGCCGCAGCUUCCAUCGCGUAGUAGCUAACACCUCGCGACUGGAGAGCGGCGCGGCCACGCCGUAAAACACCCAACUCUUCUGAAGUUGACCUCGAAUCAGGUAGGAAUACCCGCUGAACUUAAGCAUAUCAAUAAGCGGAGGA